ACAGAGGGUGCAAGCGUUAAUCGGAAUUACUGGGCGUAAAGCGCGCGUAGGUGGUUUGUUAAGUUGAAUGUGAAAGCCCCGGGCUCAACCUGGGAACUGCAUCCAAAACUGGCAAGCUAGAGUACGGUAGAGGGUGGUGGAAUUUCCUGUGUAGCGGUGAAAUGCGUAGAUAUAGGAAGGAACACCAGUGGCGAAGGCGACCACCUGGACCAGUACCGACGUUCAGGCACGAAAGCGUGGGGAGCAAACAGGA
rnacentral:rRNA from 1 species